rnacentral:rRNA from 1 species
AAGCGCUUGUGACCAGACUUGGGCGCGGCGGAUCAUCCGGGGUUCUCUCCGGUGCACUUCGCCGCGUCUAGGCCAGCAUCAGUUCGUCGCGGGGGAAAAAGGCUUCGGGAACGUGGCUCCUCCGGGAGUGUUAUAGCCCGUUGCAUAAUACCCUGCGGUGGACUGAGGACCGCGCAUCUGCAAGGAUGCUGGCGUAAUGGUCACCAGCGA